GAUUGCCUUAGUAGCGGCGAGUGAAGCGGCAAAAGCUCAAAUUUGAAAUCUGGCGCCUUCGGUGUCCGAGUUGUAAUUUGAAGAUUGUAACCUUGGGGUUGGCUCUUGUCUAUGUUUCUUGGAACAGGACGUCACAGAGGGUGAGAAUCCCGUGCGAUGAGAUGCCCAAUUCUAUGUAAGGUGCUUUCGAAGAGUCGAGUUGUUUGGGAAUGCAGCUCUAAGUGGGUGGUAAAUUCCAUCUAAAGCUAAAUAUUGGCGAGAGACCGAUAGCGAACAAGUACAGUGAUGGAAAGAUGAAAAGAACUUUGAAAAGAGAGUGAAAAAGUACGUGAAAUUGUUGAAAGGGAAGGGUUUGAGAUCAGACUCGAUAUUUUGUGAGCCUUGCCUUCGUGGCGGGGUGACCCGCAGCUUAUCGGGCCAGCAUCGGUUUGGGCGGUAGGAUAAUGGCGUAGGAAUGUGACUUUACUUCGGUGAAGUGUUAUAGCCUGCGUUGAUGCUGCCUGCCUAGACCGAGGACUGCGAUUUUAUCAAGGAUGCUGGCAUAAUGAUCCCAAACCGC
rnacentral:rRNA from 1 species